rnacentral:misc_RNA from 1 species
ACGCAGCGAAACGCGAUAUGUAAUGUGAAUUGCAGAUCUACAGUGAAUCAUCGAAUCUUUGAACGCACCUUGCGCUCCUUGGUAUUCCGAGGAGCAUGCCUGUUUGAGUGUCAGUAAUUUCUCAACCCCUUUCAAUUAACUUUGGAUGGGAGCUUGGAUAGUGGGGGUUUGCAGGAAACUUGGAUCUUUUCUUUAACUAGAAAAAGUCUAGGAUUCGGGCUCUCCUGAAAUACAUUGGCUUGCGGGUCUACUUUCGACUUUGUGCGAUAAGGCUUUCGGUGUGAUAAUGAUCACCGUGUGCUGAAGUGCUA